UUUCUUUCCAGUGGCCUCGGCCGGUGAGGUCAUGUCUUUCCGAGCUCUGCUACACGUGGGGGGUAACCAAAUGAGCUGGUGGCCUCCAUAAGAAGUAAAGAGACUAUUCACAACAAGAGAUUCAGGACCAGCACCUGUAUGUGGACUUCAGGUGACUUGUGAUACUACUCCUGCCCGGGGGCUACUAAGCUUAUUGAGGUCAAGACAGAAGUCUUUGGUCCCAGCAAAGGAAUGAGGAUGAAAAGCCCAGAAACCAGCUUCAGCUCUCACCCCUAUGCAUGAUGCUCCUGGAUGGCAGAGGAAUCUGAAGUGGACAUGAGCUGGAUCUCCAGGGCCUAGAGAAACUAGUUGUGUGUUGAAGAAUAAUUACUAGUUCAUGUUGUGUUUUUUGUGCCAGUACAUAUGCCCUGAGGGUUUUAGAUGGUUUAAUCAUGCAAAUUAAAAUCAUCUAAUUGGAUUUGCUACUUUGAGAAGUAAAAGUAAUUGCUCAUCUAAUCCCUGUUGACUUGAUUGUUAUUUUAAACAAUUCACCUUCUUGGUAAUGAGUGACUGAAAUGACAUUGAAAUGUUAAAUAAACCUUAU